AGGGUUUGCAAUCCUGGGCUCAGGAUGAACGCUAGCGGCAGGCCUAAUACAUGCAAGUCGAGGGGUAACAUGCGAGCUUGCUCGUGAUGACGACCGGCGGACGGGUGCGUAACGCGUAUGCGACCUACCAUCAACUGCAGGAUAGCCCGGAGAAAUCCGGAUUGAUACUGCAUAAGAUUAUAAAGCUGCAUGGUUUAAUAAUUAAAGAUUUAUUGGUUGAUGAUGGGCAUGCGUCUGAUUAGCUAGAUGGUGAGGUAAUGGCUCACCAUGGCGACGAUCAGUAGGGGUUCUGAGAGGAUGAUCCCCCACACUGGAACUGAGACACGGUCCAGACUCCUACGGGAGGCAGCAGUAGGGAAUAUUGGUCAAUGGGCGGAAGCCUGAACCAGCCAUGCCGCGUGCAGGAUGACGGCCUUCUGGGUUG
rnacentral:rRNA from 1 species